AUGGGGAGCAGGAGCGGAUGAGAUGUCGCUGUUUAAACCGGAUUAUUAAUGCGCCGAUUCGAGCUUUUAAACACAAGCUGCUCCCGGAUCGGACCUGAUCUGUUUUGUUUGAUCUUUUACACCCUGCCGCUGGACUAAAUGAGAGAUAAUUUACAGAUUAGGAGCAGGAUCGAUCAGAAGAGGGGAGAGCGGCCAUUCUGCAGAAGCUCUGCGCUCCAGCAUGUAGACGCCUCCUCCCGCAGUCUUUGCCAAUGAAAAUGGAGGAGACGGCCCUGUCCUGCAUGGACAACAGCAAGAUGGAGGGCAUCGCUCAGGAGAUCCUCUCUGACCUGGUGGAGGAUGCAUGCUUGGGGCUUUGCUUUGAGGUUCACCGGGCCGUCAAGCAGGGCUACUUCUUCCUGGACGACACUGACCAGGACAGCACGAAGGACUUCGAAAUCGUGGACCAGCCCGGUGUGGACAUCUUCGGGCAGGUAUACAACCAGUGGAAAAACAAAGAGUGCGUUUGUCCCAACUGUAGCCGGAGCAUCGCCGCCUCACGCUUCGCCCCUCACCUGGAGAAGUGCCUGGGCAUGGGCCGCAACAGCAGCCGAAUCGCCAACCGCAGAAUAGCCAGCGGCAACAACACAAACAAAUCGGAGAGCGAUCAGGAGGAUAACGAUGACGUUAAUGAUAACGACUGGUCCUACGGUGCAGAAAAGAAAGCCAAGAAGAGAAAAGCAGAUAAGGUACUUUUACAUUCAUUGAAACAACCGAUCAAUUUGGUGAGUUUUUUUCUCUUUGCAGUAAUGAUCAAAUAUUUUUUUAAAUAUAUUUUAAAUGAAAGGAACACCCUAGCAUCAUUAGUGUAGCAUAUAACAGAUUUCCCCCUCUGUUCUAACUACCUAAAAACUUAAAAUAACUGAAGAAAAGAUGUAAAAAUACUUUUGUUUUUCUUUAUUUGCAGAAUCCAAAUUCACCCAGAAGAUCCAAAACGUUAAAACAUAAAAACGCUUCGCUGGAUCAUAAGCAGCGCCCGGAGUGAUGGUGUCGCUCGGAGACAGGUUUCCAUGGUAACGCCGUCAAGGGCUACCCACCACAUCGUCUGGUUCACCUUGAGAGUGGAACGAGGAACGCGGGAGCUCUGCCAGUCAACAGAAGCAGUGUCCAUGAUCGCUCAGUUUACAAAUGUGUUCUGUGUGUAUAUAUAUUUUUUUAUUAUUUCUUCAUGAUAUUUUUUUUUUGUGGGGGGGAGCAGGGAGGUGGUAUUUGCACAGUUAUUCAGUGUCUUACGGAUCAUUUGCAUCUUCAUAUCAGAACCCAACGUUCAAUAGAAAGCUUUCAGGUAAGAAGCAUCAUGACUUUCACUCCAGUUCAGGAUCCUGUUCGGAUGUUCGAGGUUCAGUUUUUCGCAUGGCUGACAGAAGAGUAACGAGCCACUAAGGCGAACAAGAAGGAAUAAAAAUGAUCAAUCGUUAUGCUGCUUUUUUAUCAGACAUAUUUUGUGUGAAACCAAGAUGGUGCAUCAAAAAAAAACUGUACUACACUUUGUGCUUUGACGACAAGUAAUUAUGCUCACAUAUCGCCGAAAAAAGGACUAUUUCGGAUAAACAUGGAAACUUGAAAGACCUACAUAUUGCUCUUAGGAGAAUCAUCAAAUUCUCUCUUUUUUGUUUAUUUUUUCUCAUCUCUGUACUAGAUGUUUACAGUGUAAAGAAAUAAUGUGUUUUCACUGUGUUGUAACUACACAUUUUUGACUAGGUGGGAAAAAUGCUGCUAUGCUGGCCAUGAGCCACAUGCUAAUUAGCAUGUCACACAAAAUAAAUGAUUUCAACUCUG